GAUGAACGCUGGCGGCGUGCCUAAUACAUGCAAGUCGAGCGAACAGAUAAGGAGCUUGCUCCUUUGACGUUAGCGGCGGACGGGUGAGUAACACGUGGGUAACCUACCUAUAAGACUGGAAUAACUCCGGGAAACCGGGGCAAAUGCCGGAUAACAUUUAGAACCGCAUGGUUCUAAAGUGAAAGAUGGUUUUGCUAUCACUUAUAGAUGGACCCGCGCCGUAUUAGCUAGUUGGUAAGGUAACGGCUUACCAAGGCAACGAUACGUAGCCGACCUGAGAGGGUGAUCGGCCACACUGGAACUGAGACACGGUCCAGACUCCUACGAGAGGCAGCAGUAGGGAAUCUUCCGCAAUGGGCGAAAGCCUGACGGAGCAACGCCGCGUGAGUGAUGAAGGUCUUCGGAUCGUAAAACUCUGUUAUUAGGGAAGAACAAAUGUGUAAGUAACUGUGCACGUCUUGACGGUACCUAAUCAGAAAGCCACGGCUAACUACGUG
rnacentral:rRNA from 1 species